AGUCACUGACAUUAGAUACCCGGGUAGUCCUGGCAGUAAACACUGUUCACUAAACAUCGGGCCCUCUCCGAGAGGAUUCGGUGCUGAAGGGAAGCUGUAGAGUGAACUACCUGGGAAGUAUAGUCGCAAGGUCGAAACUUAAAGGAAUUGGCGGGAGACAUACAACGAGUGACGCGUGCGGUUUAAUUAGAUUCUACACCGUGAACCUCACCAGGAGCGACAGCAGGAUGAAGGUCAGUCUAAAGGGCUUACCUGACACGCUG
rnacentral:rRNA from 1 species